GUCUAGGACGAGUCCCAAAUAGGACGAAAUGCGCGUCCUAGAU
rnacentral:hammerhead_ribozyme from 1 species